CUUGUUUCUUCCAGUUGAACCAUGGCACUCUGCCUCAGAGCUCACGUUCUCAUCUUUUUUUUUUUUCUUCAAAGAGAUCCAAUUUAGGGACAUGAUUUUCAGGUUAUUGGUAAGAUAAGAGAAUGAUGACUAAAGAAAAACAUAUCAGAAAUAUCAGAACAAUGUCUAAAGGAGACUAGCCUAUAUCAGAAAGGAAAAAUUGGCAGGUUCCCACAUCAUGGAGGAGAAAAGUAAUUUCCAUUUUUCCAUGUAGAGAAAUGGGUUAGCUAGUGAUGACACUCAUGAUAAAAGUCAGCACAAGGUUGGGGAUAAGGAAAAUGAGUUUCUCCCCCCAGAUUUAAUUUGCUUAGGUUUUGUGUUUAUGGCCUACCAAAGUCAAGAUUUGCUAUGCACAUGGGGACAGAAAUUUGAAUGAUAAGGUUAAGUGACACAGAUAUGUCUGAAAACAAAGCCUCCUUUAAAAAAUAAAAUAUAUGAUUUGAAGAAAGAAUAAUAAAGUCGCCUUUCUUUUAAUCUGGAUAUAUUUUCUUUAUGACUCAAUCUACUUUAACAAAAAUGUCCCUGGAGCGC
rnacentral:lncRNA from 1 species